GGGGCGGGGCGGGGCUCCCCGCGGUAUUUGCAUGCUGCUGUGUGUUAUGGGAAGUCGCCGUGAGCGAGAAGGGCCGUGCGGGCGGCACCUUAUAAGCGGCGGGAGGGCGGCGCUGCGCAGGGCGGCGGGAAGCUCAGCGGUGGGGCCACGCGCGGAGUGCGCGUCACUCUCUCGGCCCCUGGGAAGGUCUGAGACUCGGGCCAGCAGCGGCCCUAGCAGGGCCCUCCCCGCGCGCGGGGGGGUGAGUUCCCAGAGAGCGGGCCCCGGAGAGGGCCUUCGGGCAGGAGAGGCCGCGCGCGCGGCGGAUGCCCCCUCCCCGGGGCUUGGAAUAGACUCACGGCCGGCACGGGUGCGCAUGGAGGAGGGACAUGGUCUCCCGACGCCUUACUAA
rnacentral:lncRNA from 1 species